rnacentral:lncRNA from 1 species
UGGAACAAAACUUGCUUUUGCACAUGAUGCAUGCAAUGCUUGUGCAUAUGAUUUGAAUUUUUUAUCAGAGGAACUUUUAGAGCUCUAUUUGAGAAUAUUUGGAAAUAUUAAUCAUUUAGACAUAUAUGGAAAAAUCAUAUCAAUAAUAUCUAGAAAUUUUUUACACCAAAGAAGUACAAUCUUAGUAACCAAAUACAAUACAAGAGAGAAGGAAAAUGAACAUCCUAUGGAACCCUAGAAACAACGUCCAAAGCUCUCGAGACCGGAAGAUAAGUUGC